CUACGGGAGGCAGCAGUGGGGAAUAUUGGACAAUGGGGGCAACCCUGAUCCAGCAAUGCCGCGUGUGUGAAGAAGGCCUUAGGGUUGUAAAGCACUUUAGGCUGGGAGGAAGGUGAGUAGUUUAAGAGAUGAUUCACUUGACUGUACCGGCAGAAUAAGCACCGGCUAACUCUGUGCCAGCAGCCGCGGUAAUACAGAGGGUGCGAGCGUUAAUCGGAGUUACUGGGCGUAAAGGGCGCGUAGGCGGUCUGAUAAGAUUGAUGUGAAAUCCCUGGGCUUAACCUAGGAACUGCAUCGAUGACUGUGAGACUUGAGUAUUGUAGAGGGUAGUGGAAUUUCCGGUGUAGCGGUGAAAUGCGUAGAGAUCGGAAGGAACACCAGUGGCGAAGGCGGCUACCUGGACAAAUACUGACGCUGAGGCGCGAGAGCGUGGGGAGCAAACAGGAUUAGAAACCCGAGUAGUCC
rnacentral:rRNA from 1 species